rnacentral:rRNA from 1 species
UUCGGAUCGUAAAACCCUGUUGUUAGAGAAGAAAGUGCGUGAGAGUAACUGUUCACGUUUGACGGUAUCUAACCAGAAAGCCACGGCUAACUACGUGCCAGCAGCCGCGGUAAUACGUAGGUGGCAAGCGUUAUCCGGAUUUAUUGGGCGUAAAGGGAACGCAGGCGGUCUUUUAAGUCUGAUGUGAAAGCCUUCGGCUUAACCGGAGUAGUGCAUUGGAAACUGGGAGACUUGAGUGCAGAAGAGGAGAGUGGAACUCCAUGUGUAGCGGUGAAAUGCGUAGAUAUAUGGAAGAACACCAGUGGCGAAAGCGGCUCUCUGGUCUGUAACUGACGCUGAGGUUGAAAGCGUGGGUAGCAAACAGGAUUAGAUACCCUGGUAGUCCACGCCGUAAACGAUGAAUGCUAAGUGUUGGAGGGUUUCCGCCCUUCAGUGCUGCAGCUAACGCAAUAAGCAUUCCGCCU